UGUAGGCCUAGCCCCUCGAGAAACGGCUGUGUAUGUGCUUAACAGUCAAGCUUCCUCAUAAAUAGCGCUGAGUCUGAAGCUCGUCACACGGACAAUACACCAGAUGCAGAAAAGGAUGCUUGAAAAGGCUAAAGAGAACUGCUCAGAGCACUGGAUUCCUGUCCCUGUCAAGCUUGUCAUGACAGUCCCUUGGCUCUAGGCAGACAGAAGAGGAAGAGUCAAAGGGAAAGAUUGGAGCUGAAUCCAGGGAUCAUGCAAAGACCACAGAAGGAGACCACGAGAAAGAGUCGCAUGGUGAGUUCUUCCUACUAAAUGCAAAAACCCAAGUGACUUUGCCUAUGGAGAAGGCAACCACAGAGACUUAGUCCCAACCAUUCUCCAAGUGAGAUUGGGCAGAUCCUCCUGGAGAAACUUCCUGGCUUCAAUGGAGAGCUGAGUCUCUCUGCAUCUCCAGUGGGAGGGGCUUCAGCCCUGCGAAGGCACCACGAGGCCUUGAACUACAAGGUUUACCUGCUUAUGCUGAUCCCACAUUGAAAACUCAAUAAGUGUCUGGAGUGAGGGCAGAGGGCUCAGUCUAGCUCGCUGCCAGGCACGUGGGAACACUUGAUCAAUUCAAAGAAUAAAGUAUAUUUCUAGUUGA